rnacentral:rRNA from 1 species
UACGUAGGGUGCGAGCGUUGUCCGGAAUUAUUGGGCGUAAAGAGCUCGUAGGCGGUUUGUCGCGUCGGCCGUGAAAACUUGGGGCUUAACCCUGAGCUUGCGGUCGAUACGGGCAUGACUGGAGUUCGGCAGGGGAGACUGGAAUUCCUGGUGUAGCGGUGAAAUGCGCAGAUAUCAGGAGGAACACCGGUGGCGAAGGCGGGUCUCUGGGCCGAUACUGACGCUGAGGAGCGAAAGCGUGGGGAGCGAACAGG